rnacentral:rRNA from 1 species
CGUGCGCGUUCUAUACAUGCAGUCGAGCGGACUUUUAGGAGCUUGCUCCUGGAUGUUAGCGGCGGACGGGUGAGUAACACGUGGGUAACCUGCCUGUAAGACUGGGAUAACUCCGGGAAACCGGGGCUAAUACCGGAUAGUUCCUUGAACCGCAUGGUUCAAGGAUGAAAGACGGUUUCGGCUGUCACUUACAGAUGGACCCGCGGCGCAUUAGCUAGUUGGUGAGGUAACGGCUCACCAAGGCGACGAUGCGUAGCCGACCUGAGAGGGUGAUCGGCCACACUGGGACUGAGACACGGCCCAGACUCCUACGGGAGGCAGCAGUAGGGAAUCUUCCGCAAUGGACGAAAGUCUGACGGAGCAACGCCGCGUGAGUGAUGAAGGUUUUCGGAUCGUAAAGCUCUGUUGUUAGGGAAGAACAAGUGCAAGAGUAACUGCUUGCACCUUGACGGUACCUAACCAGAAAGCCACGGCUAACUACGUGCCAGCAGCCGCGGUAAUACGUAGGUGGCAAGCGUUGUCCGGAAUUAUUGGGCGUAAAGGGCUCGCAGGCGGUUUCUUAAGUCUGAUGUGAAAGCCCCCGGCUCAACCGGGGAGGGUCAUUGGAAACUGGGAAACUUGAGUGCAGAAGAAGAGAGUGGAAUUCCACGUGUAGCGGUGAAAUGCGUAGAGAUGUGGAGGAACACCAGUGGCGAAAGCGACUCUCUGGUCUGUAACUGACGCUGAGGAGCGAAAGCGUGGGGAGCGAACAAGAUUAGAUACCCUGGUAGUCCACGCCGUAAACGAUGAGUGCUAAGUGUUAAGGGGUUUCCGCCCCUUAGUGCUGCAGCUAACGCAUUAAGCACUCCGCCUGGGGAGUACGGGCGCAAGAGCUGAAACUCAAAAGAAUUGAUAGGGGGCCCGCCACAAGCAGUGGAUCAUGUGGUUUAAUUUAGAAGCAACCCGAGAACCAUACCAAGUCUGGACAUGCUUCGACAAACCUACAGAUAGGGGCUGUGCCCUUCCGGGCCGAAAGUGACGGGAGGGUUGUGGUUGUUGUCUGUCCUCCUGUCCG